rfam:Oryza sativa Japonica Group DNA, chromosome 6, cultivar: Nipponbare, complete sequence.
AAUAAGUGCAGUUUUGACAAUUCAUGUCUAACCUUUGACCGUUCGUUUUAUUUGAUUUUUUUAAAUAAUUAGUAUUUUUAUUGUUAUUAGAUGAUAAAACAUGAAUAGUACAUUAUAUGGGACUAAUUUUUUUUAUUUUUUUCAUAAUUUUUUCAAAUAAGACGGACGGUCAAACGUUGGACACGGAUACCCACGACUGCAUUUAUU